rnacentral:rRNA from 1 species
UGAAAUUGAACUCGCUGUGAAGAUGCAGUGUACCCGCGGCAAGACGGAAAGACCCCGUGAACCUUUACUAUAGCUUGACACUGAACAUUGAGCCUUGAUGUGUAGGAUAGGUGGGAGGCUUUGAAGCGUGGACGCCAGUCUGCGUGGAGCCGACCUUGAAAUACCACCCUUUAAUGUUUGAUGUUCUAACGUGGACCCGUGAUCCGGGUUGCGGACAGUGUCUGGUGGGUAGUUUGACUGGGGCGGUCUCCUCCUAAAGAGUAACGGAGGAGCACGAAGGUUGGCUAAUCCUGGUCGGACAUCAGGAGGUUAGUGCAAUGGCAUAAGCCAGCUUGACUGCGAGCGUGACGGCGCGAGCAGGUGCGAAAGCAGGUCAUAGUGAUCCGGUGGUUCUGAAUGGAAGGGCCAUCGCUCAACGGAUAAAAGGUACUCCGGGGAUAACAGGCUGAUACCGCCCAAGAGUUCAUAUCGACGGCGGUGUUUGGCACCUCGAUGUCGGCUCAUCACAUCCUGGGGCUGAAGUAGGUCCCAAGGGUAUGGCUGUUCGCCAUUUAAAGUGGUACGCGAGCUGGGUUUAGAACGUCGUGAGACAGUUCGGUCCCUAUCUGCCGUGGGCGCUGGAGAACUGAGGGGGGCUGCUCCUAGUACGAGAGGACCGGAGUGGACGCAUCACUGGUGUUCGGGUUGUCAUGCCAAUGGCACUGCCCGGUAGCUAAAUGCGGAAGAGAUAAGUGCUGAAAGCAUCUAAGCACGAAACUUGCCCCGA